UAAAAGCAUACCAUCACCCAUUAUAGAGUGACCCAUUGUCUUUGUAACUGAGUAAUCACAACUAAGUGCAAUUAACCAUAAUGAAAAUGCACACAGAAACAUUAGAGAUAAAUGUAAUUUACUAUGAUGAAAAGCUUGCAAAAUGCCCAUUGUACUUCAGUGUUUCUCCUUUUCUCCAGUCGUCGACAGGUUCUGUGAUUAUUAGGUGAUCUGUGAUGUAUGAGAUCCUGAGAAUGCCUGCUGCUCCAAGGAUGAUUGGCAGGUGGCUUUUCCCAGGAACAGCGGGCUGGAGAUGUGGGAUCUGGAGUGAAGAUAGAAACAGAGGAAGGAAACAAGCACAUCCCCCAGAGAGCAAACCAGUGGCAAGGAAAAACUCCUUAGAAGGAAGAAACCUUGGGAGGAACCAGACUCAAAGGGGAAGCCCAUCCUCCAAGUGCCGGCACAGGAAGUGAUAUGAGCAAAAUGUCAAGCAGGUGGCAGCAAAGCACGUGUGAAGAAGAGGCCAUCAGCAGUACAAAGCACCGGCUGUACAGGUUCCCAGCAGACAAUCCAAACCUCCUUCAUUAACUGACUCUCAUGGUCUGACUAGACAGUCUGAGCAGAUCUGCGUGAAAGAGGCCUCACUGCAGUUAGCAUAACCAUUUAUUUUACAGCUCUUCUGUCUCAUUCUACUCCAUAAAGGUCACAUCCCCCCUUCCA